rnacentral:rRNA from 1 species
AUUGAACGCUGGCGGCAGGCCUAACACAUGCAAGUCGAGCGGAUGAAGGGAGCUUGCUCCUGGAUUCAGCGGCGGACGGGUGAGUAAUGCCUAGGAAUCUGCCUGGUAGUGGGGGAUAACGUCCGGAAACGGGCGCUAAUACCGCAUACGUCCUGAGGGAGAAAGUGGGGGAUCUUCGGACCUCACGCUAUCAGAUGAGCCUAGGUCGGAUUAGCUAGUUGGUGGGGUAAAGGCCUACCAAGGCGACGAUCCGUAACUGGUCUGAGAGGAUGAUCAGUCACACUGGAACUGAGACACGGUCCAGACUCCUACGGGAGGCAGCAGUGGGGAUAUUGGACAAUGGGCGAAAGCCUGAUCCAGCCAUGCCGCGUGUGUGAAGAAGGUCUUCGGAUUGUAAAGCACUUUAAGUUGGGAGGAAGGGCAGUAAGUUAAUACCUUGCUGUUUUGACGUUACCAACAGAAUAAGCACCGGCUAACUUCGUG